rnacentral:lncRNA from 1 species
CACUGUUGAGAUUGCAAGCAGGUACUACCAUGCCUAGCUUUUUAAAAGUAUGGAUUCUAAGACUUAUUGCCUCAUGCUGAAAAGGAGUUCUACACAGAAGCAUGUUGGCUGCUGUCUAGAAUCUGGCACACUUCUAAGCAGUGGUGGAAACACAUAUCCCAAUCUGUUCUAAGUAUUAGGAGAGACUUGAAAGUGUGCAAGAAAGGAUUCAACUCUAAUGUUGCAGUUACUUAACAACCGAUGGAUAAAUUAAGGCAACCUUUGGAAAUUUGGGAGGAUAUCAUGGUCCAUCAUUGAGAGAAGCCAGGACAGGAACUCAAGGCAAGAGCCUGAAGAGAGAACUGCUUGCUUUUCAGUGCAGCAUUACCUUUAGCCAGUUCCCAUCAAGUUUAUAAAAACAACCAAGUUGAGACUCUUCCUUCCCCCUCCACCGGCCCGACCUCUCCUAAGCUGGCUUUCUGUGGCGAAUGCAGAGCACCGGAGCAGCCUCGGGAGAACAGCUGGAGAAAGUGCACAGGAAGAUAAAUUAAUAGGAACUCAGCGUAGCAGCAAAUUCUAGCGCACAGCGCUCAGCUGACCCGUUAAAUGAGCAAUCCUGUUAAAUACGUUAAUCAGCACGGUUUAAAAAACCCAUGGGAAUGCUGUGGAAGAUACUUCGAGUCGAAACUGCACUCUGCACCGCUGUGGUCUGCAUCCUGCAGGUUCUUGGAUAAUAGUCUUUCUUUGCUU